CGCCUCGGCUUCCCCCUCUCGCUCGCUCAGCACGUCGUCGCCUAGGCGCAAGGAAACAGCGUUGCUGCUGGAGCCGGGCGCCACAAGCCACGCACCUCGCACUGCCCCUCCCUGCGGUGUCCAGCGUGCCCUCCCGAGGGGAGCAAAAGUCAACGACGCCCGCUGAAUCGCCCUCCCAGCGACAUCCCGCGCUGCCAGGAGCUUCACCGAGAACCGAGCAGCUUCGCCCCUCCACUUCGUCAUGUCGAAGCCGCACGCCCCCUGCUGUCGGUCUCGCAGCGCCACUGACGCCUGGGAGCCAAUCACCGCUGUCGCCUCUUCUGGCCAAACACCUGCAUGCCCUGCCGCUCGUGCCCCCUACUGCUUCAUCACCAGGCGUACUCGACGGAAAACAGACCGCCUCAUCCUUCUCCCCGGCGAGAUUCCGGCCGAUUCUGUCCGUCCCUGCAGCCAAUAAGGUAUAAAAUGGAUUCCUCUCGUCGUCCUCUCCGUUUUCCUCCACUUCUCGUGAUCUCUCAUGAACCGAGUCAACGGGAAAUUCAUCCACAGUACCCGCCGGCCUCCAUAAGAGGUGUUCUCGAGCUUUCGCAGUUUAGCCGCUGCAAUGUAUGUUUUAUCGCAAAUAGAUCCCAGCAGCCUGGUUUCUUCCAUAGUUUCCACGUUUUAACGUUUUAGCUCCGUUUUAGUUCGUUCUCGUUGUGUUAGCUUUGUUUUAGUGUGAACUAUCAUUUAGUAGUGUUGGUUUAUCAUAGUUCAUGUUUUAUAAUUAAAUUUAGAAUUAAUUUGAAUAAUGAUUACUGAAAUUAGCUUUUCUAACUAAAAGCAAAUUAGUGUUAUAAUAUAGUUUUCGUAAUUUAUGUUAAUUUGAUUAAACAUAAACUUGAAUGUGUUUCUAAAUAACUUGUUUAGCUCAGUCACGGAUCAUAAAGUUUUAUAUUAGUUGCUCUCACCUGUCUUUUAUUUGCUAGUUAAUAAUUAAUUAGCUUAAUUUGUAUGUAAACUUGUUAAAUAAAAUUUGACUAAGUUCAUGUCAUCUUUACAAAUAUAAAUCAAAUUGAGUUAUUCUAAUAUAUCCUUUAUAUGUGUUUUCAUAAUUAAAAUAAAUUCAGCUUAUAGAUUUUUUUAUGUUACAAUGCAAACCUUUCGAUAGUUGUAUCUUUCCAAUCAUAGCUCCGUUUUCAGCGUUUCUUGCGUUCUUGUGACCGUAGUAACGAGCUCUUUCUGUUAGUGUGUUCUUUUAAUGCUUUUCUUCUGUUUGGUGUUGUAUUCUUAGUUAUUCUUGUUUGUUUGAUUAUAUGUGUUGUGCUCGAUGCUUGUCGCGAGGAGAAAGGAACGCAGUACGGGAGCUUAGUUUGAAGAGCAAGUGUUGAAGACUCUGAGCAACUGUUCUCUAGAAUAAAAACAACUCAGGCAACUCACAGGGCGUGCCUACCAUGGUUUAGGUGCCGGCGGUGGUGGCGACAGAGACGGCGUCGUUGUAAGCUUAGGGCAACUCACAGGGCGUGCGACCAUAGUUUAGGUGCCGCCGUCACCGGCGACGGCAUCGACAAUGACAACGACGGAGAUAUUAGCAUCAGCCUGUCUACUGUUGAUUUGCUCCACCAACAUCACUGUAGGCACGUGCAUGACAACAUACGCCUGACCUCAUUGUGUUGACCUUGUACAAAGGACUGAAUUCAAUCUGAAAAUGAGCAACGCUGGAGCACCUGACUUGCCUGACACAUUGUUUGUCUGAUGCGGAAAUGGUACUCCAAGUGAAACCCACUUUGGGUGUGGGAUCUAUAACUCCAAACAAAUCACAUAAUGCACCAUUGAAUGGAUCAUCCUUGACAUCAAAAUAUGAGAAUAUCACUUUGGGUGUGGCGUGUACAACACCACAAAAAUCAUGGAGUGUACCAUUCUAUGGAUCAUCUUACAUACCGGAAUGUGAUGAGUCCUUAAAGCCCGCAGUUGGUAUGACAUUUGAGGACAUAGAUUCAGCCAAAGAGUUCUACAAAGCCUAUGCUGCCCAUGUUGGGUUUCUAGUACGUAUGGGUCAGCACAAGGCAAAGAAUGGUUUGGUAACAAAUAAGCCUCUCUACUGCUCGAGGGAAGGAUUUCGUAAGGCUAAAGAGGAAAUACAAUCAGAACCUGAAUGCAGCGGGAAAAGGAAAUGUGAAAGGAAAAUCACUCGAUGUGGAUGUCUGGCUAUGGUUGCUCUCAAGCGGAUAAAGGAAAGUAAGUACAUCAUAACCACUUUUGUGGAAGAGCAUACACAUGCACUUGUCUCACCUAAUAAGCAGCAUCUCAUAAGAUCAAAUAGAGAAGUUGGGAAGAAGGCGAAGAAUACAUUGUUCAAUUUUUAUAGGGCUAGCAUUGGCACUUCAGAUGCGUAUUGUUUCCUUUGUGUUGGCCUUGGCGGGUUUGAGAAUGUUGGGUGCACACUAAGGGACCUACAGAAUUACCAUGGGAAGUUAAGGUGCUUGAUAAAGUCAUCGGAUGCUUAAAUGUUUGUGGACCAACUGAGCAGAAAGACGCUUGCAAAUCCAGCAUUUUUUUUAUUAUGUCAUCGAUGAGAAGGGCAGGUUAGUCCAUGCAUUUUGGGCUGAUGCCACUGGUAGGAAGAAUUACUCUCAUUUCAGGAAUUUAGUAUCUUUCGACUCUACAUACAGUACGAAUGAGUAUAACAUGAUAUUCACACCCUUUACUGGAGUCAAUCAUCACAAGGUAAAUGUGCUGUUUGCGGGCUGCAUUGUUAUCUAAUGAGAAGAUAGAGUCCUACACAUGGUUGUUUGACAUUCUUAAAUGCAAUGGGUGGUGUGGAACCUUCUGUAAUUAUAACUGAUGAAGAUGCUAGCAUGAAGGUUGCAAUACAAAAUGUUUUCCUAACAUCUACCCAUAGGCUAUGCAUGUGGCACAUACCGAGGAAGGUUCAUGAUAAGGUUGGUCCUGAUCUCAAGGAGGAGGAUGAGUUUCAUAAUUCUCUGAGCUUAUGUGUAUGAUCAUCUGAAACUCCAGAAGAAUUUAAGGAAUGAUGGGCAAAAAUUAUAAUAAGUUACAACUUGAAAAACCAUGACUGGUUUGUUGGGAGGUUUGAUAUCAGGUCAUCAUGGGUAUCAGCUUACUUUAGAAUAUUCCUUUGUCAGGACUUUUGAGGACCACUUCUCAGUCGGAAAGUGCCAAUUCUUACUUUUCUCGGUUCAUUGGGUUUAAGCAUGCUUUGGUUGAGUUUUGGCUCAGGUUUGAUACUGCCUUGGAAGAUCAAAGGCAUAAGGAGCUGGAAGCUGACAAUGUGACUCUCCACACAACCCCUGUGUUGAAGAUAUCAUGGGGAAUGGAAAAACAUGGCAGUGAGCUCUUUACCCAUGAGGUCUUCAUGGAGUUUCAGCAGGAGCUGCUAGUUGCUAGAGAGUACUGCAUCUUUGAAAGCAUGCAAACAGAUGGAGAGUUGAGAACCAUAAGAGUAGCUGAUAAUUCCAAGAAAGUAAGGGUGGUACAGCUCAAUACAUGGACAAUGUUUGCUUCCGGCUCAUGCAUGCUCUUCGAAACACACGUCAUUCCAUGUUGGCAUAUUAUCCAUGCCCUUAGAAGUGCCAAUAUUGAUGAACUCCCAAGCAUCUAUAUACUAAAAAGGUUUAGGAAGGACUGUAAGAAAGAAGUUGUAUUGAGUCCAGAUGGUACCUUGUUGGAGGAAAGGAACAAAAAUCCAGUAGACCCAGUACUGCAAAGAUUAAUUUCAGAUACAUCCAAUAAGAUUGAAUCUCUAUUCAUUCAAGCUAAAAAUUCACUUGAUGCUAUGCAACUUUUGAGGGAUGGUGUAUAUGCACUUGGCGACAGAAUUACUGACAUGGUUCCAGCCAAAGAACAAAGUGGAAUUGAAGAGUUUGAAGGAUAUCCAAUUCCUAUGCAAGUUGAUAUCCACCUCCCAAAUGAUAUCCGUUCAAAGGGGAGAAUCAAAAGAAUCAAGGGUCAUGCUAACAAGGGGCAACAACAAAAUAAGAAUGAGCAAAGAAAGAAGAAAGUGCUACAGCCAUGAAGAUGCAGCGCAUGCAAGGUGGUCGGAUUGCAUGAUCGCAGAACUUGCCCUGAGAAAGCAAACAAAGGAUGAGUUAGUUUUCUGGUUCGAGGGAGCAGGGUAUCUCGGUUGCUGCUAUGUUAAAAGUAGUGUCGCUAUGAAGUUGGCCAACUUUAGUAUUGCUAGUAGACUGGACUAAUAUAUAUCUCAGACAAGACAUAUUUUUAUGAUUAAUUGUAUUGUGCUCAUUGUAAAUAUAUUGAUGCAAUGAAGUGUUUCAUUGACAAAGUA